UUAAGCGACUAAGCGUACACGGUGGAUGCCCUGGCAGUCAGAGGCGAUGAAGGACGUGCUAAUCUGCGAAAAGCGUCGGUAAGGUGAUAUGAACCGUUAUAACCGGCGAUGUCCGAAUGGGGAAACCCAGUGCAAUUCGUUGCACUAUCGUUAACUGAAUACAUAGGUUAACGAGGCGAACCGGGGGAACUGAAACAUCUAAGUACCCCGAGGAAAAGAAAUCAACCGAGAUUCCCCCAGUAGCGGCGAGCGAACGGGGAGCAGCCCAGAGUCUGAAUCAGCUUGUGUGUUAGUGGAACGGUCUGGAAAGUCCGACGGUACAGGGUGAUAGUCCCGUACACCAAAAUGCACAGGCUGUGAACUCGAAGAGUAGGGCGGGACACGUGGUAUCCUGUCUGAAUAUGGGGGGACCAUCCUCCAAGGCUAAAUACUCCUGACUGACCGAUAGUGAACCAGUACCGUGAGGGAAAGGCGAAAAGAACCCCGGCGAGGGGAGUGAAAAAGAACCUGAAACCGUGUACGUACAAGCAGUGGGAGCACCUUCGGGUGUGACUGCGUACCUUUUGUAUAAUGGGUCAGCGACUUAUAUUCUGUAGCAAGGUUAACCGUAUAGGGGAGCCGCAGGGAAACCGAGUCUUAACUGGGCGUUAAGUUGCAGGGUAUAGACCCGAAACCCGGUGAUCUAGCCAUGGGCAGGUUGAAGGUUGGGUAACACUAACUGGAGGACCGAACCGACUAAUGUUGAAAAAUUAGCGGAUGACUUGUGGCUGGGGGUGAAAGGCCAAUCAAACCGGGAGAUAGCUGGUUCUCCCCGAAAGCUAUUUAGGUAGCGCCUCGUGAACUCAUCUUCGGGGGUAGAGCACUGUUUCGGCUAGGGGGUCAUCCCGACUUACCAACCCGAUGCAAACUACGAAUACCGAAGAAUGUUAUCACGGGAGACACACGGCGGGUGCUAACGUCCGUCGUGAAGAGGGAAACAACCCAGACCGCCAGCUAAGGUCCCAAAGUCAUGGUUAAGUGGGAAACGAUGUGGGAAGGCACAGACAGCCAGGAUGUUGGCUUAGAAGCAGCCAUCAUUUAAAGAAAGCGUAAUAGCUCACUGGUCGAGUCGGCCUGCGCGGAAGAUGUAACGGGGCUAAACCAUGCACCGAAGCUGCGGCAGCGACACUAUGUGUUGUUGGGUAGGGGAGCGUUCUGUAAGCCUGCGAAGGUGUGCUGUGAGGGUUGCUGGAGGUAUCAGAAGUGCGAAUGCUGACAUAAGUAACGAUAAAGCGGGUGAAAAGCCCGCUCGCCGGAAGACCAAGGGUUCCUGUCCAACGUUAAUCGGGGCAGGGUGAGUCGACCCCUAAGGCGAGGCCGAAAGGCGUAGUCGAUGGGAAACAGGUUAAUAUUCCUGUACUUGGUGUUACUGCGAAGGGGGGACGGAGAAGGCUAUGUUAGCCGGGCGACGGUUGUCCCGGUUUAAGCAUGUAGGCUGGUUGUCCAGGCAAAUCCGGAUAAUCAAGGCUGAGGUGUGAUGACGAGGCACUACGGUGCUGAAGUAACAAAUGCCCUGCUUCCAGGAAAAGCCUCUAAGCAUCAGGUAACAUCAAAUCGUACCCCAAACCGACACAGGUGGUCAGGUAGAGAAUACCAAGGCGCUUGAGAGAACUCGGGUGAAGGAACUAGGCAAAAUGGUGCCGUAACUUCGGGAGAAGGCACGCUGGUGUGUAGGUGAAGUCCCUGCGGAUGGAGCUGAGACCAGUCGAAGAUACCAGCUGGCUGCAACUGUUUAUUAAAAACACAGCACUGUGCAAACACGAAAGUGGACGUAUACGGUGUGACGCCUGCCCGGUGCCGGAAGGUUAAUUGAUGGGGUUAUCCGUAAGGAGAAGCUCUUGAUCGAAGCCCCGGUAAACGGCGGCCGUAACUAUAACGGUCCUAAGGUAGCGAAAUUCCUUGUCGGGUAAGUUCCGACCUGCACGAAUGGCGUAAUGAUGGCCAGGCUGUCUCCACCCGAGACUCAGUGAAAUUGAACUCGCUGUGAAGAUGCAGUGUACCCGCGGCAAGACGGAAAGACCCCGUGAACCUUUACUAUAGCUUGACACUGAACAUUGAGCCUUGAUGUGUAGGAUAGGUGGGAGGCUUUGAAGCGUGGACGCCAGUCUGCGUGGAGCCAACCUUGAAAUACCACCCUUUAAUGUUUGAUGUUCUAACGUUGGCCCCUUACCGGGGUUGCGGACAGUGUCUGGUGGGUAGUUUGACUGGGGCGGUCUCCUCCCAAAGCGUAACGGAGGAGCACGAAGGUUAGCUAAUCCUGGUCGGACAUCAGGAGGUUAGUGCAAUGGCAUAAGCUAGCUUGACUGCGAGCGUGACGGCGCGAGCAGGUGCGAAAGCAGGUCAUAGUGAUCCGGUGGUUCUGAAUGGAAGGGCCAUCGCUCAACGGAUAAAAGGUACUCCGGGGAUAACAGGCUGAUACCGCCCAAGAGUUCAUAUCGACGGCGGUGUUUGGCACCUCGAUGUCGGCUCAUCACAUCCUGGGGCUGAAGUAGGUCCCAAGGGUAUGGCUGUUCGCCAUUUAAAGUGGUACGCGAGCUGGGUUUAGAACGUCGUGAGACAGUUCGGUCCCUAUCUGCCGUGGGCGCUGGAGAAUUGAGGGGGGCUGCUCCUAGUACGAGAGGACCGGAGUGGACGCAUCACUGGUGUUCGGGUUGUCAUGCCAAUGGCACUGCCCGGUAGCUAAAUGCGGAAGAGAUAAGUGCUGAAAGCAUCUAAGCACGAAACUUGCCCCGAGAUGAGUUCUCCCUGAGACUUUAAGUCUCCUGAAGGAACGUUAAAGACGAUGACGUUGAUAGGCCGGGUGUGUAAGCGCAGCGAUGCGUUGAGCUAACCGGUACUAAUGAACCGUGAGGCUUAACCUU
rnacentral:rRNA from 1 species